GACGAACCGUGCGAACGUUGUUCGGAAUCACUGGGCUUAAAGGGCGCGUAGGCGGGCUGACAAGUCUGGGGUGAAAUACCACGGCUCAACCGUGGAACUGCCUCAGAUACUGUCGGCCUCGAGGGAGGUAGGGGCGUGCGGAACUGUAGGUGGAGCGGUGAAAUGCGUUGAUAUCUACAGGAACUCCGGUGGCGAAAGCGGCGCGCUGGACCUCUUCUGACGCUGAGGCGCGAAAGCUAGGGGAGCAAACGGG
rnacentral:rRNA from 1 species